GUGCACCAGUCGCGAAACUUCACACUGUGCGAAAGCACGAUGAGGGAAUCCCAAGUGCUUGCACGUAAGUGUAAGCUGUUUCUCUGUCUAAAACGCAGAGAGAGUAAGGGCUGGGUAAGACGGGUGCCAGCCGCCGCGGUAAUACCUGCAGCUCAAGUGGUGACCGUUAUUAUUGGGCCUAAAACGUCCGUAGCCGGUUUAAUAAAUGCCUGGGUAAAUUGUGUAGCUUAACUAUACGAAUUCCGGGUAGACUGUUAAACUUGAGACCGGGAGAAGUUAGAGGUACUCCUGGGGUAGAGGUGAAAUUCUGUAAUCCUAGGGGGACCACCAGUGGCGAAGGCGUCUAACUAGAACGGGUCUGACGGUGAGGGACGAAGCCCUGGGGGCGCAAAACGGGGAUUAGAUACCCCGGUAGU
rnacentral:rRNA from 1 species